rnacentral:sRNA from 1 species
CAUAAAGGAAGUUCGGGGGAAGUUCGCGACGUCCUGUCGCUCCCCCGAACUGACCCGCCUCCUGCGGG